AGAGCGAACGCUGGCGGCAGGCCUAAUACAUGCAAGUCGAACGGAUCCUUCGGGAUUAGUGGCGGACGGGUGAGUAACACGUGGGAACGUACCCUUUGGUUCGGAACAACUCAGGGAAACUUGAGCUAAUACCGAAUGUGCCCUUCGGGGAAAAGAUUUAUCGCCAUUGGAGCGGCCCGCGUCUGAUUAGCUAGUUGGUAGGGUAAAGGCCUACCAAGGCUACGAUCAGUAGCUGGUCUGAGAGGAUGAUCAGCCACACUGGGACUGAGACACGGCCCAGACUCCUACGGGAGGCAGCAGUAGGGAAUCUUGCGCAAUGGGCGAAAGCCUGACGCAGCCAUGCCGCGUGAAUGAUGAAGGUCUUAGGAUUGUAAAACUCUUUCGACGGGGACGAUAAUGACGGUACCCGUAGAAGAAGCUCCGGCUAACUUCGUGCCAGCAGCCGC
rnacentral:rRNA from 1 species